AAUUCUCGCCUCUAUCCAGGAUCUCCUGAAAAGCUGCUGUUAUUAGAAUUUA
rnacentral:tRNA from 1 species